rnacentral:lncRNA from 1 species
UUUGGAAAAUGAGCAGGGCCGUGCCGUGUGCGUCGCGCCACUGAAUUUUUUUCUUUUCCUUUUUUUGUAACGUACUCCAGGUGAUCCGCAUCAUGACGUCAUGCCCGCACUUGGGUGCAACAGAGCGGCGGCACGAUAGAAAGUCUCCGGUGGCGGCUACGAGGAGUUGACCCCGCAGUCGGCGCAGUCGUUAGAAGUCGCUGUGGAAUUAAGGCCUCGUUUAGUUUACAAAAAAUUUCAAAACUUCAUAUCACAUCAAAUUUUUAGACAUAUGUAUAAAGUAUUAAGGCCUUGUUUAGAUGCGAAAAGAUUUUGG